CCGGGGCUCGCAGCGGCCGCGGCGCUGCCCGAGGACGGGCCCCGCGGGGCUGGAGCGCUUCGUGCCCGCGGUUCCGUUUCCCGGAGCGGUGGCCCGCCCGCUCCCGCUGCCGUUCCCGCCGAGGGGCGGGCGAGGCCCGGGCCCUCCGCUAGAGGGGGGUCUCGCCAUGCCGAUCCGCAGGGCCCCGCCGAGCGCUCCCGGCCCGGCACCGCGCAAUUAACUAUUCAAAUGAAACCUCUGCCGCACCACCUAACUGGGUCCCAGCAGACGCCGGCUGCAUAACCGAGCGCCGCUCCAGGCAGCCCCGGGCCAGCCGGCCAGACUUCGUGAGUCCCCCGAAGAUCUCCGCGGCCACCGCCAGGCACGGCAGCCACCCCCUCACCAAAGCACAACCGCUAAGAAACUGAGGACUUGUUCUGCAAAAGCCCCAAACUGGUGUGCAACAGGAAGAAAACCUCAAAAGUCAGGUAUCACAAACUUCUCAGGCUGACAAGAGCGAGAAGCACGCCCUUUCAGACUGCUCGUCGAUCCUGGAAAUGAGUCCUUGGUACACACAACUGCGUACGGAAAGAAACGUGAUCCACCAGUCUGCUCCGUGAAACAUAUAAACGAUCUUCUAUGUCCUAUUAAUCUUCAGUCACAGAAGGACAGCUGUUUACAGAACCUUCGCCUGGCCAGCUCCAUGAUACGUUAACUUUGUGUAAUCUCUGGUGAUUUGGAGGUUAUAAAGGCACGGAAAGGAAGCGGAAUCUUUCUGGACCUUCUGGCAUCUUAAACCUCCUGAAACGCGGGACUAACACACUGCAAAUACACAUUUCAUCACACGGGGAUUAAAUCUCCUUAUAGCCUCUUUUCAGGAACGGGAAUUUGUGAGAAACCCAACACCAUUUUAUUAUCCAGUUUGGAGGAUGAACUGAGUAACUAAGCAGCCAUCAGACAGCCAAGGGAAUCCAAGAGUGCUUCUGAAAUCCUUGGAUCCCUUGUGACCUUCUUCAUCUGCAACCCAACUCAUUAAUGGGAAAAAGUUGGUGUUUGUGGAGGAAACAGGGCCCUUACAAGAGCUGCAGGGGAAACAUUGCCCAGGAUUCCCAAAGGUGAGCUGAGACCAAGCCAAGCCAGUCUGACUCUCCACAGAGAGCUCGCCCCAGUGGUUUGAACUCAUGAAGUUUUCCAUAACUACACGGACUUUCUCAGCAAAUGCUGUUGAUCUUCAGCUGUUAGCUUAGAACUGCAUGUCUUCUUCCAAAAUGUACAAUAUUCUACUACAGUGUUAAAGAAAAUUUGCCAAGGACUUUUUAACCUUCAAUGCUCUCCACAGCUUGUACUUCUGAAAUAAUAACCAGAGACAUGCACUGAAGUAUUUGCAGUUGCCGUUUCUGUGGCCAGUGGAUCAGACUAACCCAGAAGAUAACCUCCUGUGGGUGAGUGAGUGACAUCCCUGGACUUCUGCUUUGCUCCUCCUGUUUUCAGACUUUGGUUAGCCUGAAAAUUAUGGCAGUUUUAAAGCUGGUGAAAGGCUCAGCUGGCAGCCCUAUGAAAGACAAUCAGUUCAUCCUCAAAGGAACCCUAAUAUAGACACAAGGGAAGAGCCACUUGGACUCUUCCCUUUGCUAUUGCAGAUGUGUGCUGAUGGCACACAAGGUGGUGCACUUCAGACCAUGCAGCUCCUUCAGUGGCCUUGUUAAAGAUGCUCCUGCCGUGAGCAGCAGGUGCCAGGUGUGCCAGCAGGGUGUGGUGUGGACACUGGGGAUGUUAAUAGCUAUUGAGGCAACACUUUCUUUCACAUAUUAAAGGCAUUUUGCUGGCAUGCAGAUAUGCUCGAUCAGGUUCAGCUGUAGGAUGAGGGGAAGAAACAGAUCCAAGCAGUUUGCUCCAUACCUUCCCUUCCCCAGCUGUCUGCUUUCUGGCUUAGAGACUCCAGACUUGGAACAAGAAGGCUGUGUCAUUUUAGUGAUUUUAGGUAAGUGACAAAAAAAAAGAGGCUACAGGGCCUUUAGUUAGGCCUUCAGCUGGCAGCAGCAAAGCAUCUGUAGGCUGGUCCCUGCAGCACGGGACACCCAUCUUCUACCUUCUCUCUGUUCAGCUUCUGAGCAUGUUCUUUUAUGUUUGACUGCUUUUUUCACUGGCAUUUUUGCUUCUUUCUCAUUUCUCUUGACUGCUGUACAUCCUAUUUUAUUAUUUCCUAUUAGUGUCUAUUGUACCUCACUUGGGUUGUUUGGUUUAUUUUUCAUUACUGAUUAAUUCCCAACACUGUAAGGAAAAUAAAUUCAUUGAAGAAACCUGGUUUUUUACCA